rnacentral:rRNA from 1 species
UAGGGAAUCCUCCGCAAUGGACGCAAGUCUGACGGAGCAACGCCGCGUGAGUGAAGAAGGAUUUCGGUUCGUAAAACUCUGUUGUUAGAGAAGAACAGCGCAUAGAGUAACUGUUAUGCGUGUGACGGUAUCUAACCAGAAAGCCACGGCUAACUACGUGCCAGCAGCCGCGGUAAUACGUAGGUGGCAAGCGUUGUCCGGAUUUAUUGGGCGUAAAGCGAGCGCAGGCGGUCAAUUAAGUCUGAUGUGAAAGCCCCCGGCUCAACCGGGGAGGGUCAAUGGAAACUGGUUGACUUGAGUGCAGAAGAGGAGAGUGGAAUUCCAUGUGUAGCGGUGAAAUGCGUAGAUAUAUGGAGGAACACCAGUGGCGAAGGAGACUCUCUGGUCUGUAACUGACGCUGAGGCUCGAAAGCGUGGGUAGCAAACAGG